AUCCCGGGCGUGGUGGUCCGGGGUUUCUCCCUGAUGGACUGGCCGCGCCUCGUGCGCGGCCAUUUUU
rnacentral:ncRNA from 1 species